UGCAUCAGCUGCUAUCUGUUUAUUAAGUUACAUGUGCGUAGUCUGACAGCCCCGGUGUUUCAUAUUUUUCUGUUGAUUUUGAUAGUUUUCUGUUAGUUCGUGAAUGUGAAUAUUGUAUUUAUUUAUCAGCAAAAAUAGAAAAAAGGUGUUACUGAAUCAUUUAUUACACCAGUGAUAACGUUUGUCAGUAUUUUGCGGUUGUGUAUUUAAGAAAAUUACUCUAGUUGAUUAGAAUAUUUAUACUAGUUGAAGAAUCUGUGAUAAAUCAUGUAUACGAAUGGGAAUGGUGUCUGUUCUACCAAUGGUCAACAUAAACAUUUAGAUGUUCCUGGACAAAAGGAACAUCACGAAGAUGAAAAUGGAACAAAUGGAAACGACAAAGAGGCUACCAGAUACCCAGAUGGAUCCGUACGAUUACGAAACCCCCACAUCGAACUUAUGGACCAAGACAUUUUAUAUCAUCUAGCUCUGGGAAGCGAGUCUCACGAUCUUAUUGAAAUGUUCGGUGAUAUCAAAUUCGUGUGUAUGGGAGGAACACCAAAGAGAAUGGAAAAUUUUGCCGAAUAUAUCAUGAAAGAGAUUGGCCAUAAAUUACCAACUGGAACUCAGUUAAUGGAUAUAAGUCAGUAUUCUUAUCGCUACAGUAUGUACAAAGUGGGGCCUGUAUUAUCUAUUAGUCACGGCAUGGGUGCCCCAUCCAUUGGUAUCCUUCUUCACGAAGUGAUAAAACUAAUGUACCACGCGAAAUGUAGGGAUCCAAUUUUCUUUAGGAUUGGAACGUGUGGAGGCAUUGGUCUUGAAGGAGGUACCGUAGUCAUUUCUGACGAUGCAGCUGAUGGAAUGAUGAAUAAAUAUUAUCAAGUGCCAAUUCUUGGAAAAAUUACUAAAAGACCUGCAAAAUUGGACAAAAAACUAGUUCGGGAACUCAAAGCCUUAGCAAAUUCUGAAGAUCCUUAUGACACCGUGACGGGUACCACCAUGUGUGCUGAUGAUUUCUAUGAAGGCCAAGGAAGAUUAGAUGGAGCAUUCUGUGAAUAUACCGAAGCUGAAAAAAUGGAAUACUUGGAACGGUUAGUAAGCAACGGAAUCAAAAACAUUGAAAUGGAAGCUACUACAUUUGCUGCUCUUACUCACCACGCUGGAAUCAGCGCCGCAAUUGUUUGCGUCACUCUUCUGGAUAGAUUAAAAGGAGAUCAGGUGGCAACUCCAAAGGAGGUACUUACCGAAUGGCAACUCAGACCUCAGAUACUAGUAGCCCGAUACAUCAAGAGGUAUUUACAAACCAAAGGCCGAAUAUCAUUCGACGGACAUGGAUCUAUGGCUGUGAAGAGUCCAAGACGUUUCAAACUUGUUCAACAAGAAUCCCAAACGUUUGAAUAAACUAAUUUAUUUGCAUUUAGAUGUUUGUGGGCAUAAGAUGCUAAUACCGGACGUCUCAUAAUAUAGAAAAUAUUAUAAUACUGACUUUAUAAAAGUCUUUUAAGGUGAUAAUCUUAAUAUUUAUUAUCAUGUGUACAUUGUGCUUGCAGGAAUGUAGUUAUUAUAUUUUAAAAGUGAUUGAAUAUGGGACGUCCGGUAUGUUAAUUUUUCUUCUUGAGUUAUGGAACUUGGAUUCUAAGAUUUUAAAUCAUUCAGGAUUUGUACUAAUUAACGGAAAACGCGGAGAUACUGUUAAAGAUUUUCUGAUACUGUUACACAUUGUUCUUCCAAACCUUUAAACGAUUAACUGAUAACUAUAGACAACAAAAGAUGCGUGGAAGUGUAUGCUAAGUGCAGUUUGAGGUCUCGUCACAAUGGCACUUAGAAAGAAUAGGUCUCCUGGAAUUAUGCAGGUAGUACGCAGACAUUGUUUUUAAGUCAGUUACGAGUUUCUCUUCUACUGUGUGAUAGGCUGCUGUCAGAUCGACGAAAGCAGCCCCUGUUAUGUUUUUCUUUGAAGCCCUCUUCAAUAUGUUCUAUUAAUGGUAGGGAUGUUCGAUAUUCACCAAAGUAUCGAUACGUAUUGUUAGGUUCUGUAUCGAUACCCUAUGAUAUCGUAAUCAAAAGUAUCGAUAUUGCAAGUAUCGAUACAAAAUAUCGACAUCUUUAUUCUGACAUGUACGCAUGCGCAGUAUGGUGUCCGUCCCUUAUUUUUGUCCUGUAAUAAAAUGCAGACCACCUGGCCCACCCACCUAUAAUAUUCAAAGAAAAUAAAGGACAAACUUUGGAAGGAAAAUAAAGGACAAAGAAUUCUCCAAACCGGUGUUGCAAAACGUAUUGCAUAAAAUAAGGAGUUGAAUUUUCGAUACGAUAUUAUGAUUCAGUGUAUCGAUACACAGUAUCGAUACCAACUAAUGUAUCGAUACAAAAUAUCGAGUAUCGAAAUAUAAAGUAUCGAUACCUCAAAGUAUCGAUACGUAUCGAACAUCCCUAAUUAAUGGGAAGACUUGACCGGUGCAAGAUUUGCCGGGUCUGAAUCCUCCUUUUUGUGGUAUGAGGUGCUUUUCCACAUUUUUUUCUUUUCUGGCCAGGUUGAGUCUCUCGUAUACCCAAUUGGAAAAAGUGACACAAUAGGGAAAUCGGUAUGUAGCUACUGGGAUUUUCCGAGUCCUUUUUGGAUCCUAAGAUCCAUUUUUUGCUCCUUGGCAUAGAUUCUGUAUUUUUGUUGACUGUCAUUCACACCUGCAUCUUUUCCGUUUUUUAAUCAGUUCAUACCUUCGUGGAAUGUUUUUAGUAUAAAUGGAGUUCCUAGGUGGUGUGUUUCCUAGAAAUAGAAAUAAAAAUAAAACGUAGAAUAGCAAUGACUAAAACUACUUUUAUGAUAAUGAAGUUUACAAUAAUCAUCUCAGUUAUAAACUAAGACAAAGAAUGGUUAAGUGCUAUGUUUGGUCCGUACUUUUGUAUAGUGCAGAAGUGUGGACGCUAAAAGUAUCGAUCAUGAACAGAAUUGAAACAUUGGAAAUGUGGAUUCAUAGGCGGAUUCUGAAGAUACUUUGGACAGCAAGGAAAACUAAUGAAGAAGUACUAAAGAGGGUCAACAAAGAUAGAGACCUGCUAAAGACUGUUUAAACAUCGAAAAAUGUCUUACCUGGAACAUAUAGUGAGGGGAAGUCGAUAUAAAAUAUUACAACUGAUCUUUAAAUGCAAAAUAGAGGGCCGUAGAGGUGUAGGAAGAAAACUUGUUUCUUGGUUAAAAAACAUUCGUGAAUGGACUCAGACAAAUGCAGGAUAACUAUUCCAUAUUGCAGAAGAUCGAGAAGCCUUCGCAACGGUGAUCGCCAACGUCGGAUAAUUCUGAUAUGGCACGUGAAGAAGAAGAAGAAGGUGGUGUGUCUCAUGAUUCAGUCUUCUUCUAGUGUUUGGCUCUUUAUAUAGGUUAUUAGUUCUUCCAUUCACAAGGAGUUAAGUAGCGACUUGGUUUGCUGUAACCUUGAUGAUAUAAAGUGAAAAUGGGAAAGAUAUGCAAAGCAGAACAGUGUGUAUUUUCUUCCUUUAUGCCGUAUAUGUUUCGAUUGAACGGAUAGAUGGACAAAAACUAUUUAGAGUUGGACAAACUUGUGGAUGUACGCAUGCUUUGCAAAUGUCGUGUUUGUUACAAGAUAAUAGUCCACAGUACAUCGUCCUUUUUGUAAGAUGAUUACAAAAGUCUUAAAAUGGUCUUAACUGCUUCGUUAGAGCGAGUCUGCCACUUUCUGAAACAUUUCAGAGUGCAGGUUGGACGUGUUUCCGCGUCAUUACAAUAUUGACGUUGUCGGACUAAUGAAACAAGGCUGUAAAUUUGUCGGACAAGAGAUCGGCAAUAUUUAUUAAUUAAAUAUAAGUAUGUACCUAUUUUCAAUUGAAAAUUAAGAGUGAAUAACAAAACUACCGCGCUAGAGUGGUCAGAUAAAAAUAAUUUAUUUUAUUUUAACGUAUAAUCUUUUGAUUAAAAUUAAAAUUUUUAUAGUUUUGCAAUAACAAAACCUAACCGCGCUGGAGCUACAGGCAUUUUUAAGACUUUUGUAAGCAUCUUCCAAAAAGAAUGAUGAACUGAGGACUAUAAUGUCAAAUCUCCAUUAGCAGUGUCUCCGAUGUUAUAAUACAUAUUUCAAAUUUAGAUUAUCUAGUUUAUUUUUUUUUACAUUUUACAAAUUUCAAUUGUUAACAAUUUUACUAUUUUAAAUAACUAAAUACUGAUUGCUUUAAGUCAAUUUUUCUAGGUAGUACUUCAAACAUUCCUAAAUAAUAAUUAUUUAUUUACAUAUUUUAGUUGUUUUUAUUGAUAGUAAACUUGUAAAUACAUAUUCAACUCUUGUUGUAUGUAUCAACUGUUCUAGGGCUUUUGAUGAUCCUUAUAGAUGAAGUGUUCUUACCAUGUACUAACUCUUCUUCUCUGGAUUGUCCUGUUUUUUAAGAAUUUAACUCUGUUGUCGCUAAAAAUGGCUAAAUAUUUAUUAUCCAAACAUAUCAUACUGAGACUACGUUGUUCACAAAAAAUCAGUCGAGACCACUUAUAUAAACUCAUAAUAUUAAAUGUAGCUAUUGUUAUUACUUAAGUGAACGCAAACAGAGCCCAGAAGAGCAGAAAUAUCUUAGCAUGCUUUUUCAUUACACCUUAGAGAACCGUCAGAAAAAUCCUAAUUAGAAAAACUAGGUUUGUUCCAACCCGCCACAAAAACCGUUAUUGAACGGUUACGAGUAUGCACAGUAACGAAAAAUGUGUUAUUUACUGCGCCUAAUUAUUCGUUAUUGUGCAUGCGCGUAACGAUUCAAGAACGGUAAUGUGACGGGUUGGAACAAACCUCUUGUGAAAUCAAAUUGACAUUUUAUGAUUUGUAAAGUAUUAAGUUAGCAGCAAGCGUCAUUUAAAUCUAAAUUCCUCAACCUCUCCUACUCUAAUUACGAUUUUUUUGGCGUCUCGUUACUACACUUCAAACAGGGUUUAGGUUAAAAUAAAUGAGAAUUUUUAUUUAUAAAUUAUUUUAUGUAAUAUUAAAAGUUACAUGCUUG
rnacentral:misc_RNA from 1 species